CGCUGGCCACCGGGUUUCUCUCUCUACGAUCCUCCAGCACUCUGACGAUGCGCCGAGCCACGCGCUGCCCUUGAGCCUUGUCCCCUACUCUGGUGGCUUUAGCAUAUGGAGCUUCGCGCCGCUCAUGCUAAAAUAACUGUUUUGUGUUAUAUGUUUAUUUUCCUUUAACUGAUUAUUGAAUGGCACUUGUCCUUUUAAAAUUUGGUCUAUUUUGUACAAGUUAAUCCGCAAGUUUUAUAUGUGGUUCUUAUUAUCCUUUUGCAAAGAGUGAGAAACCUGAUUUUAUGUACAAGGGAAAGGUUUUAAAUUGUGGUUUCAGAUGAGGUUUGGUUGUGGCCUGCGAUCAAAAGGGUUCUAGUGGAGGUGGAGAUGGAUUUGAAGUUACAAAAUUUGGCCAUGGACGUGUUGCAUUGAUUGGAUUUCCAAGUGUGGGGAAGUCUACACUUUUGACAAUGUUAACGGGCACACAUUCCGAAGCUGCAUCUUAUGAGUUCACAACUCUGACCUGUAUUCCUGGGAUUAUACACUAUAAUGAUACUAAGAUUCAGUUACUUUAA